AUCCCACCUUGGCCACCCUGGUGAAGACCUCAGGUCUUACCUACCCAGAGACAGCCUAGCCGAAAUGUCACACACACAACAAAACAAAACAAAACCUGGGUCAGAAGCAACAGUGACCACCAUCUCAAGGGGCUCCGAUCCUGUGCGGACCUUCAGAGUUGUAAAUGGCCCCUCCCUGGAGUUUAAGGGCAGAACCCAAAUCUGGCUUUUGAGGUCAGGAUCUCAGACGAUGAGAUGGAGUCCCGCCUGUGACUCUGCGCUGAGAGCACGGAUCCUUCUUGGAAUUCUCCCCCCACCCCCCGGCUCUCUCUCUGUGCCCCCACCCUCAAAAAAUAAAUAAACAUUAAAAAAAAAAUAAA